GAUGAAGAACGUAGCGAAAUGCGAUACUUGGUGUGAAUUGCAGAAUCCCGUGAACCAUCGAAUCUUUGAACGCAAGUUGCGCCCGAAGCCAUUAGGCCGAGGGCACGCCUGCCUGGGCGUCACACGUCGUUGCCCCCCCCAUCUACUCCUUCGGGAUUGCGGGGGGCGGAUGAUGGCCUCCCGUGCGCCUCGCCGCGCGGUUGGCAUAAAUGCCAAGUCCUCGGCGACGCACGCCACGACAAUCGGUGGUUGCGAAACCUCGGUUGCCCGUCGUGUGCGGUCGUCGCGCAUCGAGGGCUCGAAAAAAUUGCCGGGCUCCGGCUCGGCUUUCAACGCGACCCCAGGUCAGGCGGGGUUACCCGCUGAAUUUAAGCAUAUCAUAAGCGGAGGA
rnacentral:misc_RNA from 1 species